CAGCAUGUGAAAAGGUCUGCUCCUCAUUCCUUUAGGAGCAGUAAUACAUUAUAACAUGCCACAUUAUAAAAGGAGUUCUCAGGAUUGA
rnacentral:snoRNA from 1 species